rnacentral:rRNA from 1 species
GUAGUCCUUGCCGUAAACGAUGCAUACUUGAUGUAGGUGGGCUCAACCCUGCCUGUGUCGAAGCUAACGCGAUAAGUAUGCCGCCUGAGGAGUACGCUCGCAAGAGUGAAACUCAAAAGAAUUGACGGGGGCCCGCACAAGCAGUGGAGCAUGUGGUUUAAUUCGAUGCAACGCGAAGAACCUUACCCAGGCUCGAAAUGCAGGUGGCGACAUCAGAAAUGAUGUUUUCCGUAAGGACGCCUGUAUAGGUGCUGCAUGGCUGUCGUCAGCUCGUGCCGUGAGGUGUUGGGUUAAGUCCCGCAACGAGCGCAACCCUUAUCAUUAGUUGCCAACACGAAAGGUGGGGACUCUAAUGAGACUGCCUAGGUUAACUAGGA